rnacentral:rRNA from 1 species
GGACUACUCGGGUAUCUAAUUCCGUUCGCUCCCCUGGCUUUCGCGCCUCAGCGUCAGGGUCGGCCCAGCUGGCCGCCUACGCCACUGGUGUUCUGCCCGAUCUCAACGCAUUUCACCGCUACUCCGGGCGUUCCGCCAGCCCCUACCGCCCUCUAAGCCAGCCCGUUUCGGACGCCCUCUCCCAGUGAAGCCAGGAGCUUUCACGUCCGACGCAACCGGCCGCCUACGCGCGCUUUACGCCCAGUAAUUCCGGACAACGCUCGCCUCCUACGUAUUACCGCGGCGGCUGGCAC